ensembl:snRNA U6 U6 spliceosomal RNA
GCUCACAUAGGCAGCGCAUAUACUAAAAUUGGAAGGAUACAGAGAAGUUUAGCAUGGCCCCUGGCAAGGAUGAUGAGCAAAUUCAUGAGGCAUUCCAUAUUUUU